AAAGUUACUUUGUCAUCUCUCUGUGAAGAUGGUUUGGAGUGAUGACAAAGUAACUUUCU
rnacentral:pre_miRNA from 1 species